rnacentral:lncRNA from 1 species
GUAGGCGACAGCUGCUCCCACUGAGAGCCCAAUGGUCUGGAUCAUCUUGUAGGGCGUGUGGCUGCUGGGUCCCUCAUCUUCUUCUGCUGCCGGCUUGUCUACAACAUAGAGGAAGGCCUCGCGGUGCUUGAUGUUGCAGCUGUUGCCAGCAAUACAGGUGUACUUCCCAGAGUCCUCGGUGGUGACGUCGUAAAUGACCAGGGAGCCAUUGGGCAUGAUCUGAAUCCUGGGCAGAAGCUUGCUGGGAUCCAAAAUCUUGUCCUUCCCUUUCCAUUGGAUAUGUGGCACGGGGUCCCCCUCUGCCUGGCACUGGAACAUGGCCGUGUGCCCCUGGUACACGGUUGUGGGCUCCGGCUCCAGCUUGAAGGUGACAUAAACUGCCACCACCAGCUGCACGGUGGCACGGAUCUCACCCUGCGGGCUGUUGGAGGCAAUGCACGUGUAGUUCCCUGAGUCGCUCCUGCUCACCUUGUGGAAGGACAAGAUGCCAGCUCUGUGGCUGACAUGGGAUGGCAGGCUGCUCCCAUCUGUUUUAGUCCACUGGAUGGUGGGUUUUUCCCGGCCAGUAGCUGAGCAGGACACCGUAACCUCCUUGUUGAACUCCAUGCACUGCAGUGGCUGGGGUGGAGGAGUGAACUUUAACUUCUCUAGCACAUGUACCCGUGCAUAACCCUCAAUGCUGCCUGCCGGCGUGCUGCUCACACACUUGUACAUCGUCCCAUCGUACACCUCCACGUUGUUGAUGCGCA